GUGCUUGCUCUGGCAGCACACAUAUUAAAAUUGGAACAAUACAAAGAUUAGCAUGUGUAAGGAUGACACGCAAAUUUGUGAAGUGUUCCAUUAAAAA
rnacentral:snRNA from 1 species